GUAGGGAAUAUUGCGCAAUGGGGGAAACCCUGACGCAGCGACGCCGCGUGAGUGAUGAAGGCCUUCGGGUCGUAAAGCUCUGUUGCAGGGGAAUAAAAAAAUGGAGGUACCCUGUGAGGAAGGAUCGGCUAACUUCGUGCCAGCAGCCGCGGUAAGACGAGGGAUCCUAGCGUUGCUCGGAAUCAUUGGGCGUAAAGAGGGCGUAGGUGGCUUGGUAAGUCAGGUGUGAAAGCCCAGGGCUCAACCCUGGAAGUGCAUUUGAUACUGCUGAGCUUGAGUGUCGGAGAGGUUACCGGAAUACCUGGUGUAGUGGUGAAAUACGUAGAUAUCAGGUGGAACACCGGAGGCGAAGGCGGGUAACUGGACGAACACUGACACUGAGGCCCGAAAGCGUGGGGAUCAAACAGGAUUAGAUACCCGAGUAGCC
rnacentral:rRNA from 1 species